rnacentral:tRNA from 1 species
GGGAAUGUGGCUUAGUGGUAGAGUGCUUGCCUAGCAUGCAUGAAGCCUGGGUUCAAUUCCUCAGCACCA